rnacentral:rRNA from 1 species
GAUGAACGCUGGCGGCGUGCCUAAUACAUGCAAGUCGAGCGAACAGACGAGGAGCUUGCUCCUCUGACGUUAGCGGCGGACGGGUGAGUAACACGUGGAUAACCUACCUAUAAGACUGGGAUAACUUCGGGAAACCGGAGCUAAUACCGGAUAAUAUAUUGAACCGCAUGGUUCAAUAGUGAAAGACGGUUUUGCUGGCACUUAUAGAUGGAUCCGCGCCGCAUUAGCUAGUUGGUAAGGUAACGGCUUACCAAGGCGACGAUGCGUAGCCGACCUGAGAGGGUGAUCGGCCACACUGGAACUGAGACACGGUCCAGACUCCUACGGGAGGCAGCAGUAGGGAAUCUUCCGCAAUGGGCGAAAGCCUGACGGAGCAACGCCGCGUGAGUGAUGAAGGUCUUCGGAUCGUAAAACUCUGUUAUUAGGGAAGAACAAAUGUGUAAGUAACUAUGCACGUCUUGACGGUACCUAAUCAGAAAGCCACGGCUAACUACGUG